UGGAGUACCACAUGGAGUUCUUGGAGACACUUGGAGGCAUUUGGAGCUCAAAAAUGAGUGUUUAGAGUGGUCAUUGGGCGAGCAAGGCAUGGGAGCGACCAGUCUGGAGCGACACCACCAAGUCGCUCUGAUCACCCUACUGGAGCGACCUAACCAGAGCGACAGGGAGAAGUCGCUCGCGGUUUCAUCACUCGGAGACGAGAUAACGAGCCCGGAGCGACCUCUCGGAGCGACACAGCGAGAUCGCUCCAGCUGGGAGCGACGUUAUGGGAGCGACAGGGAGAAGUCGCUCGCGGUUUCAUCACCCGGAGACGCGAGAACGAACCCGUAGCGACCUCUCGCAGCGACACAGCGAGGUCGCUCCCAAAGCCUAGAGCGACUUGUCGGAGCGACGGGCUGAGGUCGCUGCGCGUUUUAUUUCUACUCUAACUUGUGAUUUCUCAAGAACCUUUUGGUCAUUUCAUUAUGCACGUUUUUAUUUUCUAAACCUAUGUUUUAAUACUCUAGGAGCCACCAAGAGGGGGAUCAUCUUUGUUCUUAGAAAAAGCACCAAAAACCUUUGGAAAGUCAUCUCUUUGAAUCAAUUGAUCAGUUUAUUAUUGAGAAUUCUGUGUUCUUAUCUAUUUUCUGUGUUUCUCUACAUGAUUAAUCUGAAAUCCAACAUGGGUUUAAGAGGAAUCAUGGAGAUUAGUGAGUAAUCACCUUUUGAAUUCAUGGGUUAGGGAGAUUGAGGGUGAUUAGGUUAGAACUAGGAUGUUUUAGUGUAGAUCAUUCAUAUUUCCUAUGAGCUCCCACCUUCAACCUCUCUCCCUAUGAGUUUUAGAAAGUUCACUUGUGGACAAGUAAAGAACAAGUUUUGGGGAGUUAAUAUCUUGCAUAUUUCUAUUGUUUUAUCCAUUCAUCCAUGUGCAUUUUGAUCAUAUAGAUUAGGAUUUAGCCAUGUUUAGGUUGCAUUUUGCAUACAUGAGUCCUUAUCAGGUAUUGGAGUACCACAUGGAGUUCUUGGAGACACUUGGAGGCAUUUGGAGCUCAAAAAUGAGUGUUUAGAGUGGUCAUUGGGCGAGCAAGGCAUGGGAGCGACCAGUCUGGAGCGACACCACCAAGUCGCUCUGAUCACCCUACUGGAGCGACCUAACCAGAGCGACAGGGAGAAGUCGCUCGCGGUUUCAUCACUCGGAGACGCGAGAACGAGCCCGGAGCGACCUCUCGGAGCGACACAGCGAGGUCGCUCCAGCUGGGAGCGACGUUAUGGGAGCGACAGGGAGAAGUCGCUCGCGGUUUCAUCACCCGGAGACGCGAGAACGAACCCGGAGCGACCUCUCGCAGCGACACAGCGAGGUCGCUCCCGAAGCCU
rnacentral:lncRNA from 1 species